rnacentral:rRNA from 1 species
AACGUAGGUGGCGAGCGUUAUCCGGAUUUACUGGGCGUAAAGGGUGUGCAGGCGGGCUGUUAAGUGGUGCAUGAAAUCUCCGCGCUUAACGUGGAGAGGCUGUGCCAGACUGCAGUCUAGAGUACGAGAGAGGGUUGUGGAAUUCCGGGUGUAGUGGUGAAAUGCGUAGAGAUCCGGAGGAACACCAGUGGCGAAGGCGACACGCUGGGCCGUACCUGACACUGAUGCGCGACAGCAUGGGGAGCAAACAGG